AGAACUUCUUUUCCUCAAAGAGUACACAUUGAUUUUAGAUAAAAUCUUUGAGCUUUUUUUCUCUUCAAACUCAUCUACUUCACUAUAAUCUGGAGAGGAGUUUUUAAAAGCUGGAAACGUGGCUUCUCACUGAAAACUGAAAAGGGCUUAUUUCACUGUGCCUUUUUUGGAAAUUUUAAUAGUUCUCAGCCUCAGCUGUUUAUUAGCCUCACCUGGGGAGCUUUUCAAAGUCCCAGGGUCCAGGCUACACUCCGGAUCAAUUAUGUUAGAUACUCUGGGAGAGGAUGGAGGCUCGUAAUUGUUAACCCUCCCCAGGUGAUUCCAGUGUGUAGCUGGGGCUGAGAACCACGACUGCCUUAACAGUAUAAGGCACGCCUGUGUUCACUGGCUUUUUCCACAAGGAUUCAAGGAGGCUGGCUUGCAACUAGUAAAUGAGUUAAGUUUCUAAAUAGCUUUUUUCCCUCCAGUUGAAAAUUAGAGGGGCUGAACAUUGGCUGAUCCUGAAGCACAUUGCAAUGUAUAGUUUUCUCAUGCUCUAGCAUAAACAACAAAAAGACUGAGGAUUAUAAAACUGUCACAUGUUCAAGAAUUAAUUAGGCUCGUAUUAUUCAGGAUAGGUGAUGCUGGCUACUGGUCUCUUCAAACCACACAUACUUACGUACACACAUAGACACAUACAAAAUCAAAGUGUUAUCCACUGCUAAUAUAUUUUCACAAGUUAUUUGUCACAAUAUUGACAGUUUCAGCUGGAUUCUAAAGAGGAAAUUUCCCACAGGGAGGAACAAGGACAAGGGCAGAAGCACGGGGACCGGCUAGGAGGCUCUCGCACAAAUCCAGCUGAGACAGCCGGGCGGUGAGAGCCUGGGAAUAUUCUGACGGCGACCACGGUGUUUGCGGACGCAUUGGAUGUGGGGCGAUAGCAAAAGAGAAGGACUGGGGACCGAGGAAGGAUGACACUGCCAUGACCUCAGAAUGAAAAGAAGUCUCUCGGGAGGCGUGCCACCGUCCCUAUGAUUAUGUCUGUUGUUCCCGACGAGUCCUGAGCCCAGCGCUGAGGCCGCAGCAGGCCCGUCCCCUCCCCGCCCCGGCCGGAGCCAAGCCGGUCCUUCCGUCUGGUCCACGGAGCCCAGCGACUUCCUCGGAGCCUCGGCGGCCGUGGAGGCUAUCAUUCCAUCUCUCCCACCCACGGGAUCUUGGCUCCUCCUCAAGGCUCUUUCGCAUUUUCCCACAGUUCCCUUCCCGAAUCUUUUCCUGUCAGCGUCUCUGUUUUCUCCUCCCGUCCUCCGUAGGUUCUGUGAGAACUUGGCAGUCUUCUGUCGGGCUUGUUUUGUUGCUUAUGCUCCUCCCCCAUUCUAUUUCUAUGGCUUGUUACAUACUGAGAUUUGCUGUGCAUUUUUGUUCUGUCUGACUCUAAUCAAUAGGGCCCAGAAUGGCGUUUGUUUUUUUUUAACCUUCAUUAUGUUAUUUGUGGGUUUCUCAGUUUCAUUCAGAAAUCAAUUAUACAUCCCUAAUAAUGAAACUUAAUUUGGGCGAGUUUUGGUGAUUCUCUCCAUGCCAAGUCCACGGUAUUAACCGGUCGAACUGUGCGUCCAGGAUAUGCAAGAUGAUGUUGCUGUUUUGUCAAAGGAGGAGCCCUUUACCUUCUUGCUAUUUGAAUGAGGAGAAAGGUCUAUUAAGUUUCACAGGAAUUUCCCAGCCUCCUCGCCUUUAGCCAGCCCCUCAGGAGACCUGCUCUUUCCUUGAACAAUGACAUUACGGCUGGAAGAUGAGUGAGGCAUCCACUCAAUGUGUUAACAAUAUGGAAAGGACCACGGUGGAAAGUCACUUAGAAGCUGACAGUGCCUGUUAAAGAAAAGAGGACUUUCAAAGACUGAGAAUGGGUGAAAACGGCUGAGUCCGGAUAUGAGAUGAGGAUCCUGCACCCAGAGAAGAAAAGACUUAACCUUUGUCACAAAGCUCGCAAUCCGCCUGGGACUAGAACCUACUCUCCUGCCUUGGACCCAGCCCUGACCUCUGAGCUCAGGUCCUGACAGCAGCUACUGGCCCCGCUUUGUAGUGUGGCUAGUGAUCUUCUAGUAGAGGGGUUCUGAACCUGUCAUUCCACCUCAGCACACGCCACUGAACUUCUAGGCUUCACCAGGGAAGUGAUUCUCAAGGAAAGCAGGUGGUGCCACCCCAGAGGCACAUCCAAAUCUGAGUCUUGGGGGCCGUCCUCGGUAGAGCGGACAUCCCCCUCUGCACGCGGAAGUCCUCUGUAGUUUGGAAAGCGCCCCUGGAAGAGUUUAUAACAUCUUUUAGUGCGCGAUGUGUUAUCUUCUAGCUCUGAGAGUCCCUACACUAUUCACAGUCCCUACUGAUGGGAACGUCUUGGGGUCAUGUCCUAAAUUCAGAUUAUCAGGGGUCUAAGAAUAUCCUUAGAAAAUGGUCCCCAACUUCCUGGCCGAAGGAAGACCUUAUGGAAGCUUUAUGAGCUAGAAUGCUACUGUGGGUGUGGGGGCCGUUAGGGCCGGAGGAGCCGGAGGGAGGAACACGGGAAAGCGGCCUUGGACUCCGAGAGCGUCCUCACUGUUGAGGUCACUGCAGCGGCUGAAGGGAGUUCUCCUCGUCAGAGUGUGAGCCUCUGUGGUUCACAGGCCGAUCACCAGGCUUCCAGAAGCAGUUUGGGUCUUCUUUCCUCUGGUUCCUUCAGGAUUGAGGGGAUGAGUUAGAAAGAAAGAAACAGAUUAGUCAAACAUCCUAAAGAUUAAGCGGUGGUUUUGUAUUUUAUCCGUGUUAUAUUUCAUCUGUUGAAAAAAUAAAUACAAUGAUGGGUCAAAGUAGGUUCGCUGAUUGUAGCAUAUGUCCUACUCGGGUGGGGAUGUUGAUAAUGGGGGAGGCUGUGCA
rnacentral:lncRNA from 1 species